rnacentral:rRNA from 1 species
UACGUAGGGUGCAAGCGUUGUCCGGAAUUAUUGGGCGUAAAGAGCUCGUAGGCGGUUUGUCGCGUCUGCUGUGAAAACUCGGGGCUUAACCCCGGGCCUGCAGUGGGUACGGGCAGACUAGAGUGCGGUAGGGGGUGACUGGAAUUCCUGGUGUAGCGGUGGAAUGCGCAGAUAUCAGGAGGAACACCGAUGGCGAAGGCAGGUCACUGGGCCGCAACUGACGCUGAGGAGCGAAAGCAUGGGGAGCGAACAGG